rnacentral:rRNA from 1 species
ACCGAAAGAAAGACUAACAGGAUUCCCCUAGUAACUGCGAGUGAAGCGGGAAAAGCUCAAAUUUAAAAUCUGGCGGUCUAUGGCUGUCCGAGUUGUAAUCUAGAGAAGUGAUGCCCGCGCUGGACCGUGUACAAGUCUCCUGGAAUGGAGCGUCAUAGAGGGUGAGAAUCCCGUCUCUGACACGGACUACCAGGGCUUUGUGGUAUGCUCUCAAAGAGUCGAGUUGUUUGGGAAUGCAGCUCUAAAUGGGUGGUAAAUUCCAUCUAAAGCUAAAUAUUGGCGAGAGACCGAUAGCGAACAAGUACCGUGAGGGAAAGAUGAAAAGAACUUUGGAAAGAGAGUUAAACAGUACGUGAAAUUGCUGAAAGGGAAACGCUUGAAGUCAGUCGCGUUAGCUAGGACUCAGCCUCGCUCUUGCGUGGUGUACUUUCUGGUUGACGGGUCAGCAUCAAUUUUGACUGCUGGAAAAAGGUCUUGGGAAUGUGGCAGCUUCGGCUGUGUUAUAGCCCUUGGUCACAUACAGCGGUUGGGAUUGAGGAACUCAGCACGCCGCAAGGCCGGGUUUCGACCACGUUCGUGCUUAGGAUGCUGGCAUAAUGGCUUUAAGCGACCCGUCUUGAAACACGGACCAAGGAGUCUAACAUGCCUGCGAGUGUUUGGGUGGUAAACCCGAGCGCGUAAUGAAAGUGAAAGUUGAGAUCCCUGUCGUGGGGAGCAUCGACGCCCGGACUUGAACUUUUGUGACGGAUCCGCGGUAGAGCAUGUAUGUUGGGACCCGAAAGAUGGUGAACUAUGCCUGAAUAGGGUGAAGCCAGAGGAAACUCUGGUGGAGGCUCGUAGCGAUUCUGACGUGCAAAUCGAUCGUCAAAUUUGGGUAUAGGGGCGAAAGACUAAUCGAACCAUCUAGUAGCUGGUUCCUGCCGAGUUCCCCCCUCAAAAAA